ensembl:lncRNA
CCUUCCCUCACACGCCUACUAUCCACUUUCGCCUGAGACCGCAGCCAGCGCAGGGCUCAGUUUUUUAUUUGAUUUUUUAUUUGCCUUGCUUGCUUUGGGUCUUUCCCUCUUGUACAGCGAGACCAUUUCGUCCCAUUUCACCCCUCUGCCCCUGAAAACAUAGGCCCUGGAUUGUCCCUGCAUCAGACUGCAUGCUACCAAUUGAUUUGUGCAUCUACUCCUCCCUAUUAUUUUAGCACUUUAUAUUAAAAAUUGCUCUCUAGCUUUAACGUAAAAUUCGGUUCAUUUUGAGUAAUUUCUUCACAUACCCAUUCUGGAAGAGAGGACGAAGAAAAGAAGAGAACGCUCACGGAAUGGACAGAUGAAAGGGGACAGCAGAAAAAAGAGUGAGAAAAUGGAGAGCAUGUUCUGUGGGAGAGCAAGAGAGGAAUGCUGUGGUCUACUCUUGUCUUGAGUCCGUGGAAACUUCCCACUAAGGAGUAACAAUGGAAAGAAUUUCAGUCCAGCCUAAGUAAGGUAACAUCUCUGGCAAGUUUGGAGGUUUAGAGAUGAGCCAUUAUGAGGUGGAGCCAUUCACCAACCCAACACACAACACAAUUAUAUGGUAUCCAAACUAGUGGCAGAUUGACUCUUUCUUUCAGGGAUCGUCAUAAGUCACAGGUGAGGUCCUUGGGAACAAGGCUGCAUGCAAGUUCAUCAGAAUUUGGGUGAAUAAAAAAAACUAUUAGGUAGAAUGAUGUAAUCGGGAUCAAGAAGAUGUCAUUGGAUGAACAGCCAAGGAAACACAGAAAUAUCACCACCUAAAGCACCAGUUACCCUACUGGAAAUAUCACCACCUAAAGCACCAGUUACCCCUACUGGAAAUACCACCACCUAAAGCAUCAGUUACCUACUGGAAAUACCACCACCUAAAGCACCAGUUACAAUACUGGAAAUAUCACCACCUAAAGCACCAGUUACCCUAUUGGAAAUAUCACCACCUAAAGCACCAGUUACCCUACUGGAAAUAUCACCACCUAAAGCACCAGUUACCGUACUGGAAAUAUCACCACCUAAAGCAACAGUUACCGUACUGGAAAUAUCACCACCUAAAGCACCAGUUACCGUACUGGAAAUAUCACCACCUAAAGCACCAGUUAACCGACUGGAAAUAUCACAG